rnacentral:tRNA from 1 species
CAUGAUCAUGAUGACCAUGCACUUCAUCAAAGAUGAAAACGGCAAGCCGCAGGUGCCGUUCCAUACCGUCUACAUGACCGGUCUGAU